AAAGUGAGGGUUAGCAGGAUUUCUAUUACAGAACGUUUUAGAGCUGUUCUUUUGUUCUUGUUGUCUCCUGUAAAGGAAUGAAGGAGUCAUUAGUUUUGCCCAUCUGGCAGCAGAACAGCUGGUCCUGCUGAGUCUGGAGAUUCCUUCCUGAUGUCUCUCCUGCUCAGUGUUACGCAGCUCAGCAGAAUCUUGAGACACAGACUUCACCUACCAACAAUCAUUCUCUGUUCUAGCCAUGCAUAGUGUGAUGCGUAAGUGUAAUGAAGAGAGUAAGAGACAUGACCCAGCAGUACGUCUGUGUUGGUGAUGGCAGAUUGGUUGUGGGCAAUUAGAGGCCAACAGUUGUGGUGAGGCCCUUUGGCCUCAUAAUUUUGCUUCAUAAAUCUUAGCAAAAUCUGAGGUGCUUUGUCUGUGUUCAUACAUUAAGGACAUCUGAGUGGUACCACCAAGAGGAAUGGAACCGGCAGCAUGCUAAUUCUGCUGAUGUCCUCAUCUGUGAUUUCUUGUUGACAAGUCACUGGAGCUGUGGGUUUAUCUAAGCACAGGCCUUCUGGCCUUGGUGUAAACAACAUGUUCAUUAG
rnacentral:lncRNA from 7 species